UCAAACUUGGUCAUUUAGAGGAAGUAAAAGUCGUAACAAGGUAACCGUAGGUGAACCUGCGGUUGGAUCAUUGAUGAUGCAUAGGUAUGCGGCUCCCAGAUGGUUGAGCUGCAGCCUACCCACACUGUGUGCACCAACUGUGUCUUGGCUGGGUAGUGAUUUUCUCUGCCAGCCUGCAUUAUACUCUGGGAACACGUUUUUCGGGGGAUAUGCGGCUACAAGGAAAACAUGGCCAGCCAGCAUUACAAACCAUAGCAUAAUUUUCUUUCUGAUUUAAAGAGUAAGAGUGACAACUUUUGACAACGGAUCUCUUGGCUCUCGCAUCGAUGAAGAACGCAGC
rnacentral:misc_RNA from 1 species